rnacentral:lncRNA from 1 species
GGUUUUUCGGGGUGGAAAUUUGGCUGCAGAGAGAAGCGGCACAACCAAGGUUGCAAAAUUGACGAGCAGCAUCCUCAGGGUUGGCAUUCGUAGCGGAAUUCGUAAGGGUUGAUGUGGAUCCUCCACCACAUAAGCUAAGGAUAAUCAAGCAAAUUACAAAUGAUUUCAUUUUUUCUCAAUUUCAAUUUCUUCUUAUGUUUUUUCUUCUUUUUGUUAUGGUUCAAAUUUAUAUAUGGUUAAGCGCUUGAUUUUAUAGAAAAUAAGAUUGAGUAAAAUUAACUAUAGAGAGAAAAAUAAAAUUAAGUACUCUUCAUCAAAACCACAAAUCGAAUUGAGGAUGAAACAAUAUUCAUGGCGAUACUAUCGAAAAACGAAUGACUCACGAUGACACACUGCCACGCUUCCCUUGAUCACCUCACAUUUUUUUUGACUAAUUUAACUUCCUCUUAUGGCUUAAAAUGCCUUUCACGUUAAAGCCCUACCAAUGUGGAAGAUCUCAUUUGUAGUUUACAAAAUUGCCAUUACACAAAUUAUAUCUUUGACAUUUUCAACCGAUUAUUUUUAGUUAUAAAUAUAACAAAUAGAAACACAUAUAUAGACCUAGACCUAGACCACGUCAAUUAAUAGGAGUAUACAUUGUUAUAUUUACUUUUCAUAAUGCUUAAAUCAGUAAACCUGGAAGUGAUCUCUAUUGUAAUUGUUUGUUUAUUUAUUUUUCAGUAGAACAUGAUCCUUUACUUAAUUAGCCGAGUUAUUAUUCGACAUAAAGAAUUUUAUUAGUAUAAAACACAUAGCUCAACUGACAUCUGAUAUGUGUUAGCGAUCAUGACGUUUAUGACUUGAAUCACUACACCCGCAUCAUAUUCUCUCCAAUUACUAAUUUAAUAUCAAAUCAAUUAGUAUAAAAAGAGAAAGUUGAUGUCACAAUUAGUAUAAAAAGAUAUUAUAUUCGAUCAAGGACUCAUGACCUUGAAUAGGCUUUAUAUUUUGGAUUAAGUUGAGAAUCACCCACAUUGAAAAUAUAUUUUUGUUAAAGAAAUCAACAAUGAAUUAUAGAAUUACAAAAAACGUAUGGAGAAAUCGACGUACAUAUCUAUGUGUGGUUUACUAACAGUGUCUUAGCUACAUCUACGAGAUAGAGAAGACACAUGUUUUGGAGAGAAUCUUUUCUUAGUACAAAUUAAAUUGUGCCUCUAUACUUUGUUGUUCGUAACACCACAUGUAACAAAUUCAAGGCAUUUUAUCAAUUUGUAUAUGUUUCAAUUACUUUACUUCCACAAUCCAAUUCAUGUAUGGUAUGAAAGGCUAUAGCUCAUGUAGUUAUGAUCUAAUUUGAUGAUUAAGUUAGAAAUUAAGUAUCUUAGCCUCUCAAGGUUUGCUAUUUUAUAUACAUUUUUCAUUUUAUUAUAACUAAUAAUUUUCACUCUUUUAUAUGGUUGCGUUAUAAACAAUAAAAAAAUAUUUUAGUAUUUUAAUAUUUUAUUGUUUUUAUACUUCAUUUUUCAACAAUUUUAAUAUUUCAUAUUAGAACGAAUAUCGAAAAAAAAGUUUAUUCAAAGUUAAGAUAAUGGACAAAAGGCAUAAAAUUAUAUUUAAAAGAAAACUACGAAUUCAAAACCACAAUAGUUUUUUUUUUUUUUUUGGUGUAGACACCCUAAAGCUUUAUAAUUAAUUAUAUUUUAAAAAAUCAAAAUAGUUUCAUUUUUUUAACAAUAAAUGGGAACAAAUUGAAACACAAAUUUGAGUACUACAUAAUCUAUUUUACUUGACACUAGUUAGCUUUACAAAAAAAAUGUCAAGUAUUGAGCAUUUUCAAAAAAAACGUCAAGUAUAGUUUCAAAAAAGUGGAAUUUUUUGAAGUAUUUUACAUUAACUUUUACUUGACGUUUUUUUCACAUCAAGUACAAGAGAGAUUUGAUUUGACGUUUUAUUCGCGUUAAGUAGUAUAACAAAAUUUUACUUGACGCAAACAAAACGUUAAGCAUAGUUUGAAGAAAGCAAAAUUUUCAUGAAAUUUUUUGAAUUUUUUACGUUACCUUUUAUUUGACGUUUUUUUCCACGUCAAGUAUAAUGUAGAAUUUACUUAACGGUGUUUUAGUAUCAAGUAUAGUGCAACUUUUACUUGACAUUUUUCCACGUCAAGUAUAGUUAAUAUUUACUUGAAUCAGAAACACAUUUUUAUUUUGUCAAGCAUAAAAAUAUAAAAAUAUUUUUUAUUUCCCUCUUUUCAAUAAAUAAAAUUAUUAAAAUAAACAUAUUGAAAAAUUUCCUCCCUUCCCUUCUCGUUUCAUCUCCCUCUUUCUCUCCACCAAACCUUCACGUCGUUUUCUCCAUCUCCAUCUCCACCGCCGCCGGGUCACAUAUAUUUUUUGUGUUUUAUUUACACUUAAGACCUAAAUGUUUUGCUUAUUGAAAUUUUUUCUUUGAUGGUUUCUGUGAUAUAUUGAUGGUUCUUUGUAGGAAAAACAUCCCUCGUAGUUUUGCUUUUAUAGAAAUGGUUCCUUAGAUUCUUGUCAACAUGUUUAUGUAUGCUUCCUUGAUAGUGACUUCUAGAUUCUUCCUUUGUAGUUAGCUAAACAUGAAGGGAUUUCUUCAAAACAAUUACUAGCUAGAUUGACAACUAGAGAGGCUAAAAGCUGAGAUUCUCGAGAUACUUUUAGCCACUGUAGUUGUCAAUCUAGCUGGAACAAAGGAUUUGGAUAUUGAUCUUCAAAACUAAUUUCACUUCAGGUUUUUUAUUGUUUAUUUGUUAUGAGAAUAUUGGUGUUCUAUUUUUCAAUGUUUGUUUGUUUUGUAGGUUUAAUCAUGAUCUAAGGUCAGUUGCCAAUAUUAUACAAACUUCACAUAUAUGGUUCAUGUUUAACUGAUCUUAGGCGUGUAGGUUUCGAUAAUUUUUUUAUGGUUUUAUUUUCUAAAGAGAAAUUAGUGAACGAAUAUAUAACAAAAAUCCAACAUAAAAUGCAUGCAUGGAUAUUGAUCAUAUAAUAGGAUAAACCAAACCCUAGCAUUUUACACUAUUAGGUACAAACUUUUGAAUUACAUGCCAUAACUUAAUUUUGGAAUUAGGUUAUAGCCAAAUUUUGGGGUUGCGUGACACACCAAUAUUGACAUUUCCUUAUGUUCAUAUAGUAUCAUAAAGUCAAUCCCAAAAUGACUCUUCCUCUCUCCGUUCUUCAUUAAUUCAUGUCGUGUUUUUUUAGCAUCUUUGAAAGCUUGAGUUCAUACAAUCUCUCUCACUUGGUUCUCAUCAGCAAAAAGGAAAAAGCUGAAUAUAUUUAACAAAAGCAAUGAAUUCGGAAAUUACUAAAAGUUAAAUCAAGCUCAAAAUAUAAAAACUAAAAGUGCAACGUUCUGGAACUCCUAAGAAUCGAAUAGAAACUAUAUCUUCAUUUGUUUUCAAAAAGUACUAGAAAUCGAGCGAUAAGGGAUAUGAGACAAUGUAAAUUCGUUGGACUUAGAAUCAUAAUACAUAUAGUUUCUGUUUUUUGAGAUGAUAAUAUUGCAAACAGACUCACUUGGCGCACCAGUGUAUCUCAACCAGCUGGUUGACAAACAUAGCAUAAUUCCUCACUAAAAAAUUUAGUAUGUGAUAAUUUUUUUGUAAAAGAUUAAAAUAUACUUUUUUUUUAUUUGGUUAGAAAAAUGGGAGUUAUAAGAUUAGGUGCAACCUUAGUUGCCAAAAACAAGAUAUAUCUAUAUAUAUAUAAUUGUAUCGAUACAACACACUUAUUCAAAUUAACAUUAACUUUUUGUUUAUCAAUUGUAAGGUGGACCAAGUGUAACUCAUUAAAAUCUUCAGAAAGAUAAUUGGUGCCUUCGAAGUAUUUUCGAAUUAACGAAAUAAAAUUUAUUUGUGAGAUUAUUAACCAUUAAUCACUAAUUCCACCGCAAACAGACACACUUAAUCUACACUAAAACAAAAAUUGUGACAAAACAUUCCAUUCUCGCAUAGCAUAAAAAGAGAAACAAUGAUGUUUUUUGCUCAUAAUCAACUACAUUCAAAAGCAUGAAUCUACAUUUACAUCAAAACAAAAAAUGUGUUUAAAUAUGAAAUGAUAGGCUUUUAAGCCAAUGGUUUUAUUAUUCGUAUAUGGUAUGUUUAUCUUGAAAAGUCAAUCACGGUUCCUUUCUCCUCUCACCAUACUUCAUAUUCCUUUUGUUAGCAUCGCUACUUCAUGCAAGUUUGAUAACAUCCUUUAUAACAACUCUCUUAUUUUUCCAGGUCUGCCAAUUUCAUAAAGAAAAAAAAUACAAUUAAAAGAAGGAUAAUCACCCAUCAAAACUAGAGAAAAUUAUUAAAGUAAGCGACCAAAUUUUAGUAUACAUAUGAAUGCUGCUACUAAACUCUCAAUGAUUGUGGGUUUGAUCCAGAUAAAAUUUUUGUAUAUGAAUACUACUCUAAUUGAAUGUUAGUCAUGACUAGGAUAACCUCUAAUGCCAUUUCAUGCUCAAUGCAUGUAAGCAAACAAUGUCUUCCCCAACGAAUUAUCCUCGUUAUGAAAAUGUUUGCCAACACUACUAUUAGUGCUUAAAAUAUAAAAGAAAUAUCAAAAUUAACACCAAAGGACCUAAAAUCUCUUUAAUUUUUUUUUUUUUUUUUUGAUAAAAAAGAAAGGAUAGUGUCAAUGAGAGAGUCGAGUAGAAUAUCUCAACUAGAAUGUAACAUUCAUAGAUAUAGUCAAAACAACUAUGUGAAAGGGACAAUAUUAUAGAAGCUCAUAGAAGAAAAGAACCAGAGCAAAGAUCUCUCAGAAUAGCAUUUAGAUUGACACAUCAGAAACCAAAAAAAACUUAAAGGAUUAAAAUAGAUAUAUUAACUUGGUCCAACAAUGUAAAAGAAUAAAAUAGGUACUCCAAGAGUACUGGAAAUUAACUCACUCGGGUUUUUCGGGGUGGAAAUUUGGCUGCAGAGAGAAGCGGCACAACCAAGGUUGCAAAAUUGACGAGCAGUAUCCUCAGGGUUGGCAUUCGUAGCGGAAUUCGUAAGGGUUGAUGUGGAUCCUCCACCACAUAAGCUAAGGAUAAUCAAGCAAAUUACAAAUGAUUUCAUUUUUUCUCAAUUUCAAUUUCUUCUUAUGUUUUUUCUUC